rnacentral:tRNA from 1 species
GCACCCAUAGCUCAAUUGGAUAGAGCGUCUGGCUACGGACCAGAAGGUUGAGGGUUCGACCCCCCCUGGGUGUACCA